UAGCGAAAACUAGGUGGGGUAAGGUGCGCCAGCAACCCCCCGAGCAUAUCGCCGGGCCACCCUGCCUUUUGAGCACCAUUUCGUUUCCUCGGCGGGCUUGCCCGCCACUGGGGACCCUCAAAAACCUUUUGUAAUGAGAAGUAACAGUAUCAUAAAAAAAAUUAAUCACAACUUUCAACAAUGGAUCUCUUGGCUCUGGCAUCGAUGAAGAACGCAGCGAAAUGCGAUAAGUAGUGUGAAUUGCAGAAUUCCGUGAAUCAUCGAAUCUUUGAACGCACAUUGCGCCCCUCGGUAUUCCGUGGGGCAUGCCUGUUCGAGCGUCAUUUACACCCUCAAGCACUGCUUGGUGUUGGGCGUCUGUCCCGCCUUCGAGCGUGGACUCGCCUCAAAGCGAUUGGCGGCUGGUGCCACGGCCUGGAGUGCAGCAGAAUUGCGCUCCUCGCCCGCGGCCUGGCUCCCAGAAGCGAACCUAUUUCACUUGUUUGACCUCGAAUCAGGUAGGGAUACCCGCUGAACUUAAGCAUAUCAAUAAGCGGAGGAAAAGAAACCAACAGGGAUUGCCCUAGUAACGGCGAGUGAAGCGGCAACAGCUCAAAUUUGAAAUCUGGCUCCUUUGGUGCCCGAGUUGUAAUUUGCA
rnacentral:misc_RNA from 1 species